rnacentral:rRNA from 1 species
UACGUAGCAGCGAGCGUUGUUCGGAAUUACUGGGCGUAAAGAGUGUGUAGGCGGUGCUCUAAGUUCGGUGUGAAAUCUCCUGGCUCAACUGGGAGGGUGCGCCGGAAACUGGAGUGCUUGAGCGUGGGAGAGGAAAGCGGAAUUCCUGGUGUAGCGGUGAAAUGCGUAGAUAUCAGGAGGAACACCUGUGGUGUAGACGGCUUUUCUGGACCAUAGCUGACGCUGAGACACGAAAGCGUGGGGGAUCAAACAGG